GCCGGUGUGGUGAAAUGGUAGACGCGCUAGACUCAAAAUCUUGUUCUUAACAGAGUGUCGGUUCGAGUCCGACCACCGGCACCA
rnacentral:tRNA from 1 species